CCAAUAGCGUAUAUUAAAGUUGUUGCAGUUAAAAAGCUCGUAGUUGAAUUUCGGGAUCAGUAGGUCGGUCGUGCCACUGGUAUGAACUGGUCUCACUGGUUCCUCCCUCUUGACGAACUGCAAUGCUAUUAAUUUAGUGUUGUAGGAAAUCAGGACUGUUACUUUGAAAAAAUUAGAGUGUUUAAAGCAGGCUUUGGCUUGAAUACAUUAGCAUGGAAUAAUGAAAUAGGACGUUCGAUCCUAUUUUGUUGGCUUCUAGGAUUGACGUAAUGAUUAAUAGGGACAGGUGGGGGCAUUAGUAUUCAAUUGUCAGAGGUGAAAUUCUUGGAUUUAUUGAAGACUAACUACUGCGAAAGCAUUUGCCAAGGAUGUUUUCAUUAAUCAAGAACGAAAGUUAGGGGAUCGAAGACGAUCAGAUACCGUCGUAGUCUUAACCAUAAACUAUGCCGACUAGGGAUCGGAUGAUGUUAAUUUUUUAAUGACUCAUUCGGCGCCUUACG
rnacentral:misc_RNA from 1 species